GCUGUGCAGUGGAAAACAUAUAGUGAAGUGAAAAGUAAUAAAAUUAGCCUUUUCAGUGAUAUUCUUUUCGGUGAAUGACUUCAUUCAACCAGGGUUGUUGUGCUAUUUGGCAACAAUCUUUCCGAUGAAAGAUUGGCCAAUAGCGAACCCAUAACGGUUCCGGGACACCGUGAUAAUCAUCUUGCCUCUGCAAGAUGCAAUCAGAUUUGGCCAAUCAUCCAAGUUGGGCGAUCCCCUUCCAACAACUCCAUAGGUGGAGAAAGAUGAGGGCAUAUUGGUAUAAUCCCUCGCCUCCCGCUCCGAUCCUGCCAGUGCUGGUAUGGAUCCCCGUAAUAAAUCAGGUGUUCAUCCUUUCGGCGGUGAUUGCACCAAGUGACUGGGGCAAAUAAUGAUCCCGCCCAGCACCGGAACUGGGCAAUCUGCCAUAGGUAAGGAAUUGGAAAAUGAUGAGAAAUAAAAUUGUCAAAUUUUUA